rnacentral:rRNA from 1 species
UUGUUCGGAAUUACUGGGCGUAAAGGGCUCGUAGGUGGCCAACUAAGUCAGACGUGAAAUCCCUCAGCUUAACUGGGGAACUGCGUCUGAUACUGGAUGGCUUGAGUUUGGGAGAGGGAUGCGGAAUUCCAGGUGUAGCGGUGAAAUGCGUAGAUAUCUGGAGGAACACCGGUGGCGAAGGCGGCAUCCUGGACCAACACUGACACUGAGGAGCGAAAGCCAGGGGAGCAAACGGG